rnacentral:rRNA from 1 species
GAGGAAUAUUGGGCAAUGCCCGCAAGGGUGACCCAGCAACGCCGCGUGGAGGAUGAAUGUCGUAAGAUUGUAAACUCCUGUUAGAGGGGAAGAAUAGUACCGGUUGGACCGGUAUAUGACUGUACCCUCAGAGAAAGCCCCGGCUAACUACGUGCCAGCAGCCGCGGUAAUACGUAGGGGGCAAGCGUUGUCCGGAUUUACUGGGUGUAAAGGGCGCGCAGGCGGGAUAAAAAGUCAGUGGUGAAAUCCUACAGCUUAACUGUAGAACUGCCUUCGAUACUUUUAUUCUUGAGUUCGGGAGAGAGAGACGGAAUUCCAGGUGUAGUGGUGAAAUACGUAGAUAUCUGGAAGAACACCAGUUGCGAAGGCGGUCUCUUGGUCCGACACUGACGCUGAGGCGCGAAAGCGUGGGGAGCAAACA